CAGUCGCCGCGGGAAUACGAAGGGUGCAAGCGUUACUCGGAAUUACUGGGCGUAAAGCGUGCGUAGGUGGUUGUUUAAGUCUGCUGUGAAAGCCCUGGGCUCAACCUGGGAAUUGCAGUGGAUACUGGGCGACUAGAGUAAGGUAGAGGAUAGUGGAAUUUCCGGUGUAGCAGUGAAAUGCGUAGAGAUCGGAAGGAACAUCUGUGGCGAAGGCGACUAUCUGGGCCAUUACUGACACUGAGGCACGAAAGCGUGGGGAGCAAACAGGAUUAGAUACCCCUGUAGUCCCUGUCUCUUACAC
rnacentral:rRNA from 1 species